UUGUGUAUAUCCAGCACUUGCGUCACGCCUCACACCGAGAUUUCUCCCUCGAUUGACUCAGCAGCGGCGGAAAUGACCAUAUUUGACGCUGUGACGUGGCAGGCACAUCCAAACUUGGUGGGGAAAACGGGCGUCCGUUUAAAUAUGCAUAAAAGGGGAGAAGGAGGAGCGAUCGGGGCAGAAGGAGUAGGAGAACUAGCAACAGAACCUGAAGACCGAGAAUGACCGACAGCGAGUCGACGAGAGCGACGAAGACGUGGCCAACUGAAGGCGAGAGAGGAGCGAGCAGGAUCGGAGGCGCUGAAAAGCGAUCCGAGCAAAAGAUGGAAACUUUAUUGAAAAAUAAAACAAGAGUCAAACCUG